AGUGAACGCUGGCGGUAGGCCUAACACAUGCAAGUCGAACGGCAGCACAGUAAGAGCUUGCUCUUACGGGUGGCGAGUGGCGGACGAGUGAGGAAUACAUCGGAAUCUACUUUUUCGUGGGGGAUAACGUAGGGAAACUUACGCUAAUACCGCAUACGACCUACGGGUGAAAGCAGGGGAUCUUCGGACCUUGCGCGAUUGAAUGAGCCGAUGUCGGAUUAGCUAGUUGGCGGGGUAAAGGCCCACCAUGGCGACGAUCCGUAGCUGGUCUGAGAGGAUGAUCAGCCACACUGGAACUGAGACACGGUCCAGACUCCUACGGGAGGCAGCAGUGGGGAAUAUUGGACAAUGGGCGCAAGCCUGAUCCAGCCAUACCGCGUGGGUGAAGAAGGCCUUCGGGUUGUAAAGCCCUUUUGUUGGGAAAGAAAAGCAGCAGGUUAAUACCCCGCUGUUCUGACGGUACCCAAAGAAUAAGCACCGGCUAACUUCGUG
rnacentral:rRNA from 1 species